AGAGGACAAAAAGAAGGGCAAGUUCGGAGAGAGUGAGUAGGAUGAGUUUGCGGGGAUGGUGUGAGGGGGGGGCGAGGCGUGAAGGGAGACCGGGUGUCGGGAGACCGCGAGAAGGCGAGGGAGGGCAGCCCCGGGCGGCCGCCGAUGCGGGGCGGCGGGGACAGAGGAGGCCCGCGGGCGUUGUCGCGGAGCCCGCGGGCGCCCGGAUCGCUUCCCCUCGCUCGCUAUUUCCCCCACACAUCCAGCGCCUCAGACCUCCCUUCCUCCUUCCUCGCUGGGGACUAGAACGCAGCCGCGGCCGGAAGUGCGGGUGACGCCAUCAGCCGUCGCCCGAGCGGAGGCGCGCGGGCGCCCGAGAGACGAACGUGAGUGAGAUCGAGCGCGCGGUCCCGACGCUCCCGUGAGCGGACGGCGGCGCCGCCGGGUCCAGGUGGGCCGUCGUGCGGAGACGUACUUUUAUUCCUGGACUUUUUUUUUUUAAUUUAUAUAUAUAUAUUUUUUUUUUUGGUGCUUGUUUGUUUGUGUCCCCCACCGCCGAAUCGUGGUAAGGACUUUGGGUCUCUGAGAGACGGCGUCGUGCAAGGGAAGGAGCCCUCUCGGCCGCGUACGCUUCCUGGAGCUGGGUGUCCCGUUGCGCGGUGGGAAGGAGUCCGGUUCGGUGAUGCCGGAGACGGCGACGACUUCGAGGUUUCCAGGAAGCAGGGAGGAGGCAGGACGAGACGGUCCGCCGCGCUUUGGGGAUGCUCCACGGAACGGCCGAGCAGUCCUUCCACCCCGCGCCGACUCCGCCUUUCCCUGCGGAGCGGGCGUUAUCGGUCCUCGCGUUUGUGUGAGCAUCUCCGGGAGGCAGCGUCGUGAAGGCGGGUCUCGAGUUCCACUUGUACAUCCACGGAGGACUUCCGGGACUGUCGGCGUCAGAGCGUGGCUUAUCGGACUCGGAAUCAUUCCCCUGCUGGUACCGCAAGAGGACAGUGGCGUAGGGAAGAUGAAGCAGACGCCCAAGGCAGAUGUACUGGCACAGGAUUUAAAAAAAUACUUUUUACAGCCUUAA
rnacentral:lncRNA from 12 species